rnacentral:misc_RNA from 1 species
ACGAGAUCAUGCCCUCACGGGUAGACCUCCCACCCUUGAAUAUCAUACCUUCGUUGCUUUGGCGGGCCGCCUCGGCCACCGGCUUAGGCUGGUGAGUGCCCGCCAGAGGACCCUAAACUCUUGUUUACAGUGUCGUCUGAGUACUAUACAAUAGUUA